rnacentral:rRNA from 1 species
CCUACGGGGUGCAGCAGUGAGGAAUAUUGGUCAGUGGACGAGAGUCUGAACCAGCCAAGUAGCGUGAAGGAUGACUGCCCUAUGGGUUGUAAACUUCUUUUAUAUGGGAAUAAAACGUUCCACGUGUGGGAUUUUGUAUGUACCAUAUGAAUAAGGAUCGGCUAACUCCGUGCCAGCAGCCGCGGUAAUAUGGAGGAUCCGAGCGUUAUCCGGAUUUAUUGGGUUUAAAGGGAGCGUAGGUGGAUUGUUAAGUCAGUUGUGAAAGUUUGCGGCUCAACCGUAAAAUUGCAGUUGAAACUGGCAGUCUUGAGUACAGUAGAGGUGGGCGGAAUUCGUGGUGUAGCGGUGAAAUGCUUAGAUAUCACGAAGAACUCCGAUUGCGAAGGCAGUUCACUGGACUGCAACUGACACUGAGGCUCGAAAGUGUGGGUAUCAAACAGGAUUAGAUACCCGUGUAGUC